rnacentral:rRNA from 1 species
UACAGAGGGUGCGAGCGUUGUCCGGAAUCACUGGGCGUAAAGGGCGCGUAGGCGGCUUGAUAAGGUUGCGGUGAAAGCCCGGGGCUCAACCCCGGGUCGGCCGUGGCAACUGUCGAGCUGGAGCACUGUAGAGGCAGGUGGAAUUCCGGGUGUAGCGGUGAAAUGCGUAGAUAUCGUUUGGAACGCCAACGGUGAAAACAGACAGCUGGGAGUGUGCUGACGCUGAGACACGAAAGCCAGGGGAGCGAACGGG